GUAGCCCAGAGUCGGCAGGAAGCCCGGGGGGUGGCAAUAGCAGCAGCAGCAGCUCUGCCCUACCUUGCCCGGGCGUUUCCAGGGGAGCCAAGAAUUAUUUUGCCGCAACACUGAGGUGUGGCUGGUUGGAAAAUUCCCUUUUCUGACACCAAACUAAAGGACAGAUAUUUUCUUCCAGUUGGGCCAACCUUCUGUGCACCUGUCUACCUCCCCAGCCCUUCCCCCUGUACGAAGUUUGGGGUGCCCUGAGCUCCUCUUCCUUAGAGUGCGUGAAAUAAAAAGGCCCAGGGAGAGGUUUCUGCUGGUCAGUCAGAAGCAGGCACCCCGGAGCACAUACGCACACCCCUAAACAGAUUUUAGAAAGCUGCUGGGCUUCUCCCCCCUCCCCUUUAAGCAAGUGAAAUGCAAAUUCAGAUUUGAUACCUUGCCCUCAGCCAAUGAAAAAGAGGUUUUCACCUGCCACGGGCCAACCCACCAAUCAGAGGAAGUGUCUGGAGUGAGAGCCCUCCCCUGGCCAAUGGAAGGCCAGCUCAGUCACUUAGUUAAUGAUGCAGCAGUACAAGGAAGGCCAUCACAUGUGAACUGGAAGGGUGCCAACAUGGAGACACAGAGCGCGCAAGGUUUGAGCAGCUGACACGAAGGGAAAAGAAACUGAAGUGG